rnacentral:rRNA from 1 species
UACGUAGGGGCCGAGCGUUGUCCGGAGUUAUUGGGCGUAAAGCGCGCGCAGGCGGCCUCGCGCGCCCGACGUGAAAGCCCCCGGCUUAACCGGGGAGAGUCGUUGGGGACGGCGGGGCUUGAGGGCGGGAGAGGUCGGUGGAAUUCCCGGUGUAGUGGUGAAAUGCGUAGAUAUCGGGAGGAACACCGGUGGCGAAGGCGGUUCUCUGGGCAGUAACUGACGCUGAGGAGCGAAAGCGUGGGGAGCGAACAGG